CAAAACAUAAAAAGUGCUUUGGAGUUGAGUCCGCGAGAGCAAAUAGGCAAAAUCUGGACUCAGCAGAUUUUUGCUCUCGGGGACCGGUCCCUGGAGGGAAGGACCGGUCCCCGUAGCUGAUGGUCGCGGGGGAGGUCGAUGCGACCAGUCCUUGGCUGAGGGGACCGGUCCCCGUGCGCGACACCCGCGGGAGGAAGCCAAAAUUUGGCUAAGUCCUGAAGGUUCCCCGUUCGGGAACCAGUCUCUUAGGAGAGACCGGUCUCCCAG
rnacentral:lncRNA from 1 species